CCCUUCCCUUCCAGCCCCUUCCUUGGCUGUGUCCAUGCUCUGCAAGUUGCCAGCUGCUAAUAGCAUGCAGGUGGCUGCCUCUGUUUGCAGAGUUCUUUUGGCAAGGGGACAGGGAGCUCCCAGCUGCUGCCAGGUAGCACAGGCCUCCUGGCCAUAAAGGUGUGUUGCCUUCGUCACCUUUGGGCUCUGUAGCACAGGAGAUGACUUUGGCUGAAGCACGUUAUGUGAAUGGGUUGCACGUCAGCUACAGAACCGCUGUGGGAUCCAUCCACACCCAUCCCUGCAAGCACACUCUGAUAGGCCCUGGCGCCGUGCUGCGCUUUGUGUCAAGUUAAUGAUGGGCAUUUGCACGCACAGAUGUGUGAAGCCUGCCAGGACAUCAAGGCUUCAGACAUAUCUCAGGCACCUGGAAGCCAACCCAAAGUUCCAGGUGCUGAUAACUAUUCCAGCCCCUUCUGGUUCAUCUGGUCUCUGGGAGUUGCAGCCACUGGUCCCUGAGCAGGCUCUUUGGACACCACAGCAUCAAGCAGCCUGGCCCUAUCUGGAGCCAUUUCAAGGAAAAUCCAGACCUGCAUUUGACCUCAUUCUUUUAUUUACUCACCACACUAAUUAGGUCAGGCAGAGUGAAGGCCAGCAAGACAUGUAGGAUGGACUAUUUGCAUAGCUGCGAG
rnacentral:lncRNA from 1 species